GAUCAUAUGUAAUCCUUAAAGUUGCCUUGUAAUGUUUGCAUCUUAGUUUCUUUUAUCUUGUGCCCAAAUUAUUAUUGACUUCCCAAACCACAGAUUAGAUUAUGAUUAGAUGAAUUAAGCGUCAGUCUGGAAUGUACUCAAAGGGGAUUUCAUGAUUUAAAGUGCUGCUGCAAGAUGUCUGGCUCACACUUUGAAUUUUGAUUUGAUGUCUCAAACUGUCAAAAUAAAGUUCUUAGUGAAAUGAAUGCAACUAGUACAAAUUAUUAAUCAACCAAUAAUAAUCUUUCUGACGAGGGAACAUCUGCUCGCACGGACCACAGCCUUACGGAUGCCGAGGGGUUGUGCUCCAAGAAGAUAUGUGUCCCCAUCGACUGGAGUGAUCACAACAUAAUUAUAGCUAUAACCAGCAAAGUGAAGGCACCUUACGUGAAAACCAAGGUUUGUGUGAGCUGCAUGAACUGCACACGCACAUUUACUUUUAUGGCAAACGGCGACUCAAUGCUGGCAGAGUAUGGAAAAGAUGAGCUGGGAAACAACAUCAAACCCCAGAGAGGCUACAGAAAUCAGACGAAUAAACAACAUGGGCUAAAGCAGGAAGAAACACUAACGAUGCCAGGAAUGCUUCGCUGAAAUGAAAUUACCAGAUAUCCACUGUGUUGUUUUUGGAGGCCACAGGCUUCGUGCCAGCUGCCAAUGGAAUCUACUCUCACCUCCUGCUGCCCAGUGUGGAGAAAUCCCAAAGGCCACAGACUGAACAACAUCAGGACCCCCAAUCAUUAGCCGACCAGAAAUAUCCACUCAGCUCAGCAGGGGGCGCUUGCACUUAUAGAUAAUGAGUGACAGAGAAUAGAUGUCACGUUUAUCGUUGUUGUCUCAGUUGUGCUUUUCUAUUUCAUAUUUUUAAGGCUGGAACAUCAGGGGGUUCACUACAAUGCAGUGGCAAUGUGAAGUAAUCCUCUAGGUUAUUUAUUAACAGUCUAUAGUUCUGCAAUAUGGAGACUGUAAUGUGUCCACAUGGUUCAUACAUCUUCUGUUCACAUUUGUAACAUAAAGCUUGAGGCUAGCAGCGACAGCAGUGUUGUGAAUCUUGUAUCUGCUGAUGUUUCUCCAAUAAAAAACGAGUUGACUCAGGGUGUGAUGCAACAGGAAAGGCCAAGUAGACACUUCCCUGGGGCGUCAAGCUGAGAGAAGGCCUCAGAGAAAGAGGCUUAUCAUGUAAGUCCACAGCAAAAGCAAUUUUAUUAGAACCUCCUCAAGUUCUGUGAACAGGAGAAGCAACAACACCGCUGAUGGAACCCCGAACAAGGCCCACAUGCCAUUAGCUUUCUAUGGGUUGGUGGUGUGGGUUUGCACAACUUCACUAUGUUAUCAUCAUUUAUGAUAAUGUGUAUAAUGUGUAUUGAUACAAAAAUAGUAAUUUGAUGAUGGGAAGAUAUUGACUCCGCAGCUCUUGUUUGCCUCAAAGUCCCUGGAAAUGGAUAAAGACCAAGUUGAGCUGCUGUCAAGUGAAGUUUGGUCUUU